CCUACGGGGGGCUGCAGUGGGGAAUUUUGGACAAUGGGGGCAUCCCUGAUCCAGCCAUGCCGCGUGCGGGAAGAAGGCCUUCGGGUUGUAAACCGCUUUUGUCAGGAGAGAAAUCUCUUGGGCUAAUACCCUGAGAGGAUGACGGUACCUGAAGAAUAAGCACCGGCUAACUACGUGCCAGCAGCCGCGGUAAUACGUAGGGUGCAAGCGUUAAUCGGAAUUACUGGGGGGGAAUGGUCCGGACAGGGUUGAAAUCCCCGGGCUUAACCUGGGAACUGCACUUGUGACUGCACGGCUAGAGUACGGCAGAGGGGGAUGGAAUUCCGCGUGUAGCAGUGAAAUGCGUAGAUAUGCGGAGGAACACCGAUGGCGAAGGCAGUCCCCUGGGCCUGUACUGACGCUCAUGCACGAAAGCGUGGGGAGCAAACAGGAUUAGAUACCCGGGUAGUC
rnacentral:rRNA from 1 species